CCCUUAGAUGUCCUGGGCCGCACGCGCGCUACACUGACAUGUUCAACAAGUUUCUCCUAGUUCGACAGGACUGGGAAAUCUUUGAACGCAUGUCGUGAUAGGGAUAGAUCAUUGCAAUUAUUGAUCUUGAACGAGGAAUUCCUAGUAAACGCGAGUCAUCAGCUCGCAUUGAUUACGUCCCUGCCCUUUGUACACACCGCCCGUCGCACCUACCGAUUGAAUGUUUCGGUGAAGAUUCCGGAUAGGACUGAUUUGAUUUAUUUCAUUUCUGACCUAGAAGCUAUCUAAACCUCAACAUUUAGAGGAAGGUGAAGUCGUAACA
rnacentral:rRNA from 1 species